GCCUUCGUGGUAUAGUGGUCAGCACCCUCGAUGCGUUAACAAGAGGUCCGUGGUUCGAUUCCCGGCGAAGGUG
rnacentral:tRNA from 1 species